GUUUGCUCCCAAAUAAUGCCUUAAAGGCACCAGAUCCUGUCUGAUUUCAGGAGAUAAGUGGGGUCAGAUCUGGUUAGUACUUGGAUGAGAGACCACCAAUGUAUACCAGAUGCUGUAGGUU
rnacentral:rRNA from 1 species